rnacentral:rRNA from 1 species
UACGAAGGGGGCUAGCGUUGCUCGGAAUCACUGGGCGUAAAGCGCACGUAGGCGGACUCUUAAGUCGGUGGUGAAAUCCUGGAGCUCAACCCUCAGAACUGCCUUCGAUACUGAGAGUCUCGAGUCCGAGAGAGGUGAGUGGAACUGCGAGUGUAGAGGUGAAAUUCGUAGAUAUUCGCAAGAACACCAGUGGCGAAGGCGGCUCACUGGCCCGGUACUGACGCUGAGGUGCGAAAGCGUGGGGAGCAAACAGG